rnacentral:rRNA from 1 species
AAAACUUUCAACAACGGAUCUCUUGGUUCUGGCAUCGAUGAAGAACGCAGCGAAAUGCGAUAAGUAAUGUGAAUUGCAGAAUUCAGUGAAUCAUCGAAUCUUUGAACGCACAUUGCGCCCCUUGGUAUCCCGAGGGGCAUGCCUGUUCGAGCGUCAUUAC